rnacentral:rRNA from 1 species
AUACGGAGGGUGCAAGCGUUACUCGGAAUCACUGGGCGUAAAGGACGCGUAGGCGGGUUGUCAAGUCUGAUGUGAAAUCCUAUGGCUCAACCAUAGAACUGCAUUGGAAACUGGCAACCUAGAGUAUGGGAGGGGGAGAUGGAAUUAGUGGUGUAGGGGUAAAAUCCGUAGAUAUCACUAGGAAUACCGAAAGCGAAGGCGAUCUCCUGGAACAUAACUGACGCUAAGGCGUGAAAGCGUGGGGAGCAAACGGAAUUAGAAACCCCGGUAGUCC